rnacentral:lncRNA from 1 species
GCACAAUUAAUUCAAAAUCAAUUUUUCAAUAUCCUAAUAUUAAAUUAAAUGUCAUACAUGCCAAAUAAACUCGAAACUUAAGUUCAUGCCACAGUUCAAAGAAACCAAUACAAUUCCAAAUAGCAAAAAUUAUAAUAUAAAGUCUAAAAUAUUUUUAAUAAAUAAAACUAUCCGAGCCAAGCCUUCCGGAUGUCGUAUCCUAACCUAGUGGGUUAUUUAUAAAUAUGGAAAUUUAAGAGUGAACUUAAGAAGCUCAGCGUGAGUCCAAUCACAAGAAAAUCAAUGUAGAACAGUAGACAACGAAUACGGAAUAACAAUUCUCAUAUUAAUCGCAACCAUUUAGCAAAUCACAAUAUCGAUUUUUCAAUCAACACUUUUCUAUAAUAUUUCAGAAUCCACAGUUUUAUGAAUGACAAUGCAAUUUUAAUUUAUCAUAAAGAGUCCUACCCAACUCCACUACACACCACACUAUGAGUUCCCUAGAACUCAUCCAUCCGUACACACCGAGUUGUGGAUAAAUCACUAUUAAUUUGCAGUUAAACUGCCACUUUGUUGUAAAAAUUGUGGGUAAACCACCAAUAUUUUCAGAUAAAACAUUUGCAGAUAAACUGCCACUUGGUUUGUGGAUGAGCCACUACUGGUUUGCACAUUAUUAAACUGCCACUCUUCGUCCAUGCAUAUCGUCGCGCCCCAUGCAAUGUAAUAUGACAUGCUUUGUAAAAAAACAAUACAAAAAUAGUGGAUAUGUUUUACAUAUAUUCAAUUCAAAAAUGCCAGUAGACAUGCUUAACAUGUAUUCAGUUCAACAUUAGCAGUAGACAUGCUUAACAUGUACUCAAUAGGGUGGUAACAAUAUUAACACUAACAAUUUUCCAGUAUCACUUUGACAAUAGGCAUGUAAUAUUCACAUCUCAUACUAUAUAACAAUAGUACUUUAGUCAUUAAAUCAUAGAUUCCAAAAUAAUAAUAUCAGGGACUUAAUUGAGUGAAUAAAACUCUGAAAAUAAUUCAAGGAAUAUACAAGGACUAAACUAAACAUAUCAUAAAUUUCUAAGCAAAAUUGUAAAGAAUGGGUCACAUGACUGUAUGGCCAGGCCAUGUGAGGGUCUCAUGGUCAUAUGGAUAGGUUACACAACUGUGUAGCCAGGCCGUGUAAUAGGUUUAAAUUAAUUUUACUUGCAAAAUUUCUAAUAUUGACCUAUCUGAUUUCUUUUUACUUGCAAUUUAAAUUAAUUUUUUAUUUUAAUUUUGUAUAUAUUGUAUAUGUAUUAUCAUUAGUUUCAAACGAUACAUUUUAAUACCUAUUAUAUGUAUUUUAAGUGCAUAUAUAUAUAUUAAAUACAUGAUUUUCACAUGCAUACAAAUGUAAUGGAAUUUCUAUUACAUAUAGUAUGACAUAUUUUUUUGUCAUCAAAUUCUCUAAAGAUCAAAUCUCAAACUUUGAUCAUAUUGAAAUUCUUUAUACAAUCCUUAUUUGACUUUACUCUUGUACCAUAUGCCAUGAGUGAUGGGAUGCUAAAAAUCAUUAAAGAAACCAUUAAAAGCUUCAAAUAAAUAUUAUGAUAAAUUAUUAUAUAAACUCUUCCUACCAUAUUAUUCACGGUCCCAUUUCAAUUAUUUAAUAAUAUUUUAAUAAAUUAUUUUAUUUCAUUCACACAUAAAUUUGUUAAUUUUUUUUACAUUGAAUCCAAAUCCGGAACACAUAAAUUUGUUAAUUUUUUUUACAUUGAAUCCAAAUCCGGAAUCAUGAAUAGAACUUCAAACCUCGAACUCUAAAUAAAAAACUCUCAAACCUCAAACUCAACUCCGACCUCGAAUCCCAAACUCUGAAUCCAAAUUUAAGGUUCGAGUUUAGAAUUUUAGAUUUAAAUUCAAGAUUCAAGUUCGGGUUUGGAGUAAAAAAAUUAUAAGUCAAUAACAUAAAAAAAAUUACUAAAAUUUCAUUAAAUAAUUAAAAAAGAACUAUAAAAACUGUGGUGAGAAAUAUCCUUAAAAUAAUUUCUGUAAUAUAUAAGAAUCAAAUAAAAAUAACAAUGACUUUCCUUAAGUUAAUAUAAAAAAUUUUCUUCUUUCUCAAACUUUUCAUGGAAACAAAGAAGAGCGUAAAGGGAACAGAGGAAAUUGAAGGGUUGAGAGAGAGAGAGAAUUAUCUGUUUUACCUGUUUGAAGCUCGAAAACUUUUGCAGAGGUGAAAGUAUAUUUCCAGGUUCUCUCCACUGAUUUUCGAUGAGAAACUUGAGAGGGGUGAAGAAGGAGCGCAAGUAAAAUCGUCCAAAUUAGGGAAGCGAAUAAUCUGGGAGUAGAGUGAUGAGAGGAUGAAAACUACCCUCAAAACUCUGCUGCCUGCAAACACCUUUCGCUUACCUGAUUUGGCAAAUUUUCCAAAUGUUCCAUUUCUGUUACCAUUAACCUCCUCGGCCUCUGCAACUUUAAAGAACCAAAUGAAACAAACACUACCAACUCCAAGGGUUAGCUCAGCUUUGUGUGUGUGUGUGUGUGUGUGUGCAUUAAUAUAUACUCGAAAUUUCGUCCCGGGGUGAACAUCAGUAGUACUUCUAUUUUAAUUUUUAAAUAAAGAAAACUUAAAA